AGAACACUCCAGCUCACAUGUUAGUCUGCUCCAAGCAUUCCCACAAAGGUUACCUGCGCACUGGGCGGAUUCCUGUGCACUUGCACUACAGUCAGCUGAUUUGGCUCUUUGCAAGAGUCUGCACAAACAGCAUGCUAACACAAAGCUAGCCAAGAACCCAGAGGGAUGAUCACAGAUGCAGCAUCCUGUCUUGUCCAUAGAGGGUCCUCUCAUGUGUGGUUACUGUUUCCACUGGAUGACCACAGUGAAGGUUCCUCAUUUUGUCCAUAGCAAUUUGCGGUAUCUGCCUUCUGGUGGCUUUUGUCCUUUAUAGCGAUGGCUCAAGCUCUGAUCUCCAGCCGAGCUUGGUGUUUCCGUUUGGGAAACCUGACACUUACUCAAGCUUCCAGCCAUUCAGUGUUUUUCAGCAGGAUCAAUGCUGCAUCUGUGUCUUUCUCCCCAUGGGACCCUGUGGGAUGUAGUCCUUCUCCAGCCCAGUGGAUCCUGAAUCUUCCCAUUCACUCUGGCUCCCCCAAGGACACAAGGGCACAUUUCCUAUGGACUUGAAUAACUCUGCAUUUGUGCAGUGUAUUGGAGAAUGGUUGUAUCAUAAGAAAUGCCUUAACACAUAUGGUUUCAAUCACUAUUAUCAUGAACGGGGCAUGUAUUUCUUUAGAUAGUAGAACAGUGGAUUACUCAUAUUAUCCUCAGUGUGUGUGU